rnacentral:siRNA from 1 species
AUACUCCAAAUGCACGCUCGACAU